rnacentral:rRNA from 1 species
UACGAAGGGUGCAAGCGUUGUUCGGAUUUAUUGGGCGUAAAGCGCUCGUAGGCGGACCUAUAAGUCAGAUGUGAAAUCUCGGGGCUCAACCUCGAAACUGCGUCUGAAACCGUGGGUCUAGAAUCUUGGAGGGGGAAAGGGAAUUUCGCAUGUAGGGGUAAAAUCCGUAGAUAUGCGAAGGAACACCAGAGGCGAAGGCGCCUUCCUGGACAAGUAUUGACGCUAAGGAGCGAAAGCGUGGGGAUCAAACAGG